CAUAUAGUUUUAGGUUUUACAUUUAGGUAUUUGAUCCAUUCUGAUUUAAUUUUUGCAUAUGGUGCCUCCACUCUCACUUCUUCUGGGUGUUCCCAACAUAUACCAGAGGCAACACAAAGUCAUUUAAGAAAGAGAUUUCCAUAUUUUUCCCUCUUGGCUUUUAGUUUCACAUAUGUCUUUCCUCUCCUUCCCAAACACUUGCCCCUAAGCCAUGAAAAAGUCCAUAAAAAAAUAAGAAAACCAAUGCAAAAAUUUAUAUUUUAUUUGAAUUCAAAAAAUUUAAAAUUGCUUUCAAAUUCAGGAAAGUACCAUAAUGCAGGACCCCAGGGGGAAGCCUCAUAUACAGAGACAGAUAAAUUAAGUGUAUAUACUGCAGACAAGCCAAGAAGGUGUGUAGAUUACAUAUUUACAGCACUUGAUGUUUUCUGAAAACCAUAUUUAUACAUUUUUAUUACAUUUACAAAAAAGUCUUCCACUACCAUUUACCUACAAUAAUGAAAAAAAAUUUACACCUUUUUUUUUCUUUCUUUUUUGGUACUGUACAAACUUUGUAUAAUAAAAAUAUAUCUCUGUACAAAAGAUUUUUUUUGUUUGUUUUUGUUUUACUUUUUUUUUUUUUUUAACCUCAUGGGAUGGCGGNNNNNNNNNNNNNNNNAUGGCGGGCGAAGGGCCUAUUCUGCCCUGGUUGCUUCCAAGCCUCUGGAGGUGGAGAGAAAAUGCCAGAGGUGGGAAAAGGGAAUGCAGAGCAGAGUGCUGGGCGCCCCACCAGCAUGUGCUCUGUGGGCAUCUCCUGGGGCUUCACAAGGGGAGGGGCGGAGGCAGGGCUGGAGGAGGAGUCCACUGGUUGGUUUCCCAGGCUUGUAAGAAGUGGGGAGGGAGCAGCCAAAGAGCUUCCUGUGUUUGCUUCCAGAGAAAGAAAGAGAUGAGCGUAUGGGGGUGUGUGUCUGAACUGGACCUCUCUGGCCAAGCCCAGGGAUGCUGUGAUCCAAGAGCAGGUGCGGGCAUCUGGGCUCCUGCCAUUGGCAGUCGUAGUCACAUCUUCAGUCCAUUUACACGUGAGUCAGAUCUCAGGGUUCCGACUCAGAAUCUGCUUACAUGCCAGGCGUCCCUCCUGUAUGUUUCUGUCAUUCCUGGGUUUGGUCUGUGA
rnacentral:lncRNA from 1 species